rnacentral:rRNA from 1 species
UACGGAGGGGGCUAGCGUUGUUCGGAAUUACUGGGCGUAAAGGGCGCGUAGGCGGAUGGCACAGUCAGAUGUGAAAUUCCCGGGCUUAACCUGGGGGCUGCAUUUGAUACGUGUUGUCUUGAGUUCGGAAGAGGGUCGUGGAAUUCCCAGUGUAGAGGUGAAAUUCGUAGAUAUUGGGAAGAACACCGGUGGCGAAGGCGGCGACCUGGUCCGACACUGACGCUGAGGCGCGAAAGCGUGGGGAGCAAACAGG